GACGUAGGGCGCGAGCGUUGUCCGGAUUUAUUGGGCGUAAAGAGCUCGUAGGCGGCUUGUCGCGUCGUCCGUGAAAACUUGGGGCUCAACCCCAAGCUUGCGGUCGAUACGGGCAGGCUAGAGUUCGGUAGGGGAGACUGGAAUUCCUGGUGUAGCGGUGAAAUGCGCAGAUAUCAGGAGGAACACCGGUGGCGAAGGCGGUUCUCUGGGCAUUACCUGACGCUGAGGAGCGAAAGUGUGGGGAGCGAACAGG
rnacentral:rRNA from 1 species